CGCUGAAGGAAGCGAAACUGGGAGAAGGAGAAGUCACUGGCCAGGACUGCCUGGAUCCCCUCCUGACCUGAGAUACCAACUCCGAUGUGAGCGCCUGAAGGAGUGAAGACGCCCGAUUGGCAGACGGUACUGACCUGGAGGAAGUCUCUUUCUGAACAUCUCCGCUGCGCUGGCCUCCUCUGACUAUGACCCAUCAGACUGUCUACACAGGGAAAGAAGAGAAGUCGUGAGGACAGGAGUGAACAAGUGCUGAGGGUGGAGACGUCGUCAGGGUCGUGUGGAUCAGGCAGAUGCAUAGAAAUGAAGAACGUAUACAUGAGAGUUCCUAAAACGGCUCCAAUAGGUGGUGCCACCAGGGGGACCCAGAACCAGUAGUUGUAACACCUGUUAAGCAGACACCAGGAGGAAAUUGGUUUUUGCCAAGACUGUUCUGGGGCAACAUCAAAUGUCUCUACUAUUCAGAAACUGAAAGACCAAUAGCAUCAGCCCGCAGUCAGCGUGAAGAGUCGUGGGCCAAGGUCACGUGCAGGAUUUAUUGCUCCUCCGCAGUUAGCUGACAUUGACAUGGAAAUUCCCAGGACAAUCACUGCCACUAUAGGAGGAAUCAGCCCCGGAGGAGCAGGAGUGUUCCUGGUUUCUCCCAAACACAGGAUGCACAACAUCAGCAUGCCGGUGCCCACUACCUGAGGACGUCAGGUACAUGGCCGACAUGACGCCCACAGAGAAGGCGAUGUUGACGGACAUAAACUGGCCUUUGGUCUCCCUGCUGGUUUUCACCUGAGCUGCAGCAGAGCAGCCGAAAAGCUGGGAUAAAAG